GAUACUCAAUUUAAAGUGAGUACACAUAAUUCCAUACUCGAUCUCAUAGAUCCCUAUAGAAUUCUGUGGAAAGCCGUAUUCGAUGAAAGUCGUAUGUACGGCUUGGAGGGAGAUCUUUCCUAUCUUUCGAGAUCCACCCUACAAUAUGGGGUCAAAAAGCCAAAAAAAAUAAGUGAUUUUAGCCCUUAUAAAAAGAAAACGGAAUCUUGA
rnacentral:rRNA from 1 species